CCUGCUGUGGGGAUCCUGCCAGAGGACAGCAGGGGUCAGGAAUCCCCCCUCCCAUGCCCCAGCCCCUGCGGGGUAUGGACACUGCCCUCUGCCCUCUGACGGCUCCACGGGAUGGGAACAAAGCAGAAGACCUUUAGGGGACUUCACUCCCAUCUGCUUUCACACUGGGCUUUUAUGGGGAAUUUGCUUCAAAAAAUUAAAACCCCAAGCUCAUAACCGCCCCAACAGCUAAUAUCUGCGUGCAGGCGCCAACAAUGAGGCGUACAGUUGACCCCUGACAGCCACAGGACUGAGGGGAGUAUCGGGGUCUUGGUCUUACAGAUGGGGAGCAGACAGCCCAGGAAGGGUGGUGAACCCCCCCCCCCCCAAAGGACACACGGCCACAUGGUGCAGAUCCAGGGCACUGGGCUGAGUCUAGCUCUGACUCGCCAUGGCCACCGGGUCCUGGGAUUGGUGAGCGUCCACAGCGGCUCCCACAGCCCCCCGGAGCGUGGGCAGGACCGUGUCCAGUCUGUAACGAACGAGGGUCGCCGGGGUGACCUUAUGAGCGCAAGCUUCUCGCACAGGCUCUCGGGCUUCCUCCCAUUCUCCUCGGGGGAGCCGGCGGCCACCUAGCUGCCUACAGAGGAGCCCACAGGGCAGCGAUCCGAAGGCGCCCCGCCAGCAAGCGCGCACUCGAGCUCGGGAGACCCCCGGGGAGACUCUCUGGCUGAGACCGCGGCCUGCUGAGCCUGUGUGGUGGCCCCAGGCCAGGUGUGCCCGCAUCCUGGACCCGCAGAGCCUGGGACGGGAUACAUGCUGAUGUUUUAAGCUGCCCGCCGUACGGAGCCAGCAGCGAAGCAGCCACGGGAAUCUAUUCCACGUCCGUCAUCACCUGGCCGGGUCGUGGUCAGCCGCGUGCCUGGGACCGCGGAGGGUGAGCGCUGGAAGGUCCUUCCGCCUCCACAGAGGUUCGACCACCGCCCCCCACCUGGAGCCUCGGCGGACUCACGGGCCCAGAGGAAACCCUUCCUGCCACCGCCCACGGCCGCGAGGCUUAGUGGUGUCACAGGAGCCUUCCCUCUAGGCAGAGUGUGCGUCGCCCGCCCGUCUCCCUGGGGUGCCCGAGCCGCGCGGGCGGGACAGAGACCCGGCGGCCGUGCGCGCCGAGGCGGAGUGAGGAGCCCGCCGCUCCGCGCCCGUCCCAGGUGGGACCCGGCUCCAGAAGGGGUCCCGGUUGGCGACGGCGGGGCCCGGGGCACAUGCUCACCAGUUUCUGGCCAGCUCGCGGUAGCGCGGGCCCAGAAACCUGCUUAGCAUCUCGCCGCUGUCCGCAGUUCAGGGUGACCCCGGCUGCCUCCCGGCCGUCCUGCGCAAGCGCGGUCGCCGCAGGGCGCAGGCGCACAGGGAGGCCCCGCCCCGGGCCUGCGCCGGGAGCCAGCGGUGGCUGCGCGCGCGGACCCGGAAAACAUUUGCAGCCACUUCCGGGGGGAGUCGGAAGUGGUUGCAGACACGGCAGAGAGUGGGCAAGGCGGGGCCGGGGGCAGAAUUCUGUGUCUGCGCGGGCGGUCCGAGUCGCGCCCAGCGACGCAGCCUCUGGUAACGUUUGGCUGGUGAUCCUGUGUCUUUGCUGCCUGCCAGAACUUCAUUCGCAAUUAAGGAGACGGGCCCUGCGGGGAAGAGUUGCUCUGGGGUCUUGAGCUUGGGAUCGCAGGGGAUCUGUCUGUAGGUGGGAACUCAAACCGGAGGUAGAGGCCGUCAUGAAGAUUGUUGGGAGAGACAGAGUAACACUGCCUGCAAGUGAGUAGAGAUGGGCCCGAGGCCAGAGGGCUGCAGCCUGGGACCCAGCAGUUCCUGACGCCUCGCCUCAUCCCUCCUUUUGCUGAAUGUACUUCAGCUCAUAAGGCAGCAUAUUCUUCUUUCAAGUGAUAAAAACCAAAAACCAGUUUAAGAGAAAAGAAGGAAGUUUUAUGGCAUUUUGGAUAGCUUCAGGCACGGUUAGAUCCAGGGUCUAGCAAUACCAUUACGAAUCUCUUUUUCUCCAUGUCUCAGCUCUUCUUUCCUCCGCCGUCCCUGCUCUCUGGCGAGCGCUCUCUGAGCAGUGGCGCGGGACACUCUGGGUGAACAUUCCAGCAGGCCUCGAAGGAAGACGGCUCCCUUCCCCGGGAAUUGCAGGACACGGUCUGAGGCUUGCUCUCCUUGGCCUGCUGUGGAAGUGGAGCGGAGGCAGACAAUCCUCAGAGGACAAGGGCUGAGACUGGGGGAGGGGAGGAUCCCCAAAAGGGAGCAGGCAGGAUUCCGAUAGCCGGAGAGAUGGUGGAUAAGCAGAACGCGCCCCCGUCCUCACAUCCUGCCGGUCCUCGCCCGGGCCUCCGGAACGCCCUGUCACAGUCCUUGGGGGAAACGGAACUCCUAGUUUGUAUUGCUGUGACGUUCAUACUUUUCAUCAUUUUAAAGUGAAUGGUUUCAGUGGCAUUCAGUGCGUUCACAAAGUUGUGCAACCAUCACCUCUGGUUGCAGGAAAAUUUUGUCACCUCCAGAAGACGCUCCAUCCCGUCCCCAUCAGCUGUCACCCCCACCCCCUCUCCCAGCCCCCACGAGUCCCCUUCCUGCCCGUGGACGAGCCUGUCCUGGACGUUUCACAUAAACUUGAGUUCCACCCUG